rnacentral:rRNA from 1 species
AGUGAACGCUGGCGGUAGGCCUAACACAUGCAAGUCGAACGGCAGCACAGUAAGAGCUUGCUCUUACGGGUGGCGAGUGGCGGACGGGUGAGGAAUACAUCGGAAUCUACUUUUUCGUGGGGGAUAACGUAGGGAAACUUACGCUAAUACCGCAUACGACCUACGGGUGAAAGCAGGGGAUCUUCGGACCUUGCGCGAUUGAAUGAGCCGAUGUCGGAUUAGCUAGUUGGCGGGGUAAAGGCCCACCAAGGCGACGAUCCGUAGCUGGUCUGAGAGGAUGAUCAGCCACACUGGAACUGAGACACGGUCGACUCCUACGGGAGGCAGCAGUGGGGAAUAUUGGACAAUGGGCGCAAGCCUGAUCCAGCCAUACCGCGUGGGUGAAGAAGGCCUUCGGGUUGUAAAGCCCUUUUGUUGGGAAAGAAAAGCAGCAGGUUAAUACCCCGCUGUUCUGACGGUACCCAAAGAAUAAGCACCGGCUAACUUCGUG